UGUUCAUUAUAGAAUAAUUCAAUUUGAAAUGCACUUUUCUGGUAGUGGUAUCAUGUCGAGUUCAACUGAGUGUUUCCAUUGUAUGCAUCUCUGAGUUCAGCUGUUUUCUGGUAUAUUACUGUACAUUGUUCUCUGUGCUCUGCAUAUCUUCGUUUAUCCACCCCCCUGGUUUUAUGUGCUGUCCUGUCCUGAACAUACACUGACUGCUGACCAUUGUGUCCCAACACUCGCCCUCUUGUUCAGCUCUGAGUUUGCUGGAGAGGAUGGAGGAUUCUUGUGUUUUCUUACCACAAUACAACCUUUCAUGGCGCCACCGUACACGGACCUUUCCUGCUUCAUUUUAGAGCAUUUAGGUUCUACAUCACAUCAUGUCAUACUGUCAAGAAGGGAGCAGUACUGUGAAGGCUCUGACCAUUGGCAGUGAUGGCGUUCCGUGAGUUCACAUCCACAGCUGCACAGCUGUAUGACAAGUGGAUCAAAGAUGCAGACCCCAGGACAAAAGACUGGCCGCUCAUGUCCUCGCCGCUCCCACAGACAGUUAUUAUUGUAUUUUACAUCUACUUUGUGAUGUCACUGGGGCCCAGAUUAAUGGAGAACAGGAAACCAUUUGAUCU